CCUGCUCAAUGAUUAUAAAUAGCCGCUUAUGUGCUAAGGUAGCAUAAUAAAUUGCUCUUUAAUUCAGAUAUAGAAUGAACGGACCCACGAUUUAUCAAUUUUACCAACUUAACAAAAUAAAAUUUAAACUAUUAGUAAAAAUCCAAUUACACAAUAGCAGGACGACAAGACCCUAUCGAACUUCACUUUAAAGUUUUACUGGGAAGGUCAAAAACCACAUCUUUACUCCCCCUUUAAUAUACGCCCAAAUAGAAUUAAAUUAAGUUACCAUAGGGAUAACAGCAUAAUAAUUUCAUAAAGCCCUCAUCCAAUAAAUUGAUUAUGACCUCGAUGUUGAAUUAACUACCUUUUCACAGAAAAAAGCUUAAAAGAAAGUCUGUUCGACUUUUAAAUUGUUACAU
rnacentral:rRNA from 1 species